rnacentral:rRNA from 1 species
UUUGUUUUUUAAUUAAAAACUAGAAUGAAAGAUUUUACAUUUUAAUUUCUUUAUUAAAUAUAAUAUAUUAACUUAUAUUAAAUAUAAAAAUAUAUUUAUAAAAUAAAAAGACGACAAGACCCUAUUAAAUUUUACUUAUUGUUUAGCUGGGGCAGCUUUUUAAAUAAAACUUUAAAAUUUAUAAUAUAAUAAUAUAUCUAUACUAAAAUUAAAAAAUCUAUUAUAAAUAAAUUAAUCUAAUUACUAUAGGGAUAACAGCGUUAUAUUUUUUUCAAGUUCAUAUUUAAAAAAAUCAUUGCGACCUCGAUGUUGAAUUAUAUUUCUUUAUUAAUGCAAUAAU